rnacentral:rRNA from 1 species
GAUGAACGCUGGCGGCGUGCCUAAUACAUGCAAGUCGAGCGAACGGACGAGAAGCUUGCUUCUCUGAUGUUAGCGGCGGACGGGUGAGUAACACGUGGAUAACCUACCUAUAAGACUGGGAUAACUUCGGGAAACCGUAGCUAAUACCGGAUAAUAUUUUGAACCGCAUGGUUCAAAAGUGAAAGACGGUCUUGCUGUCACUUAUAGAUGGAUCCACGCUGCAUUAGCUAGUUGGUAAGGUAACGGCUUACCAAGGCAACGAUGCAUAGCCGACCUGAGAGGGUGAUCGGCCACACUGGAACUGAGACACGGUCCAGACUCCUACGGGAGGCAGCAGUAGGGAAUCUUCCGCAAUGGGCGAAAGCCUGACGGAGCAACGCCGCGUGAGUGAUGAAGGUCUUCGGAUCGUAAAACUCUGUUAUUAGGGAAGAACAUAUGUGUAAGUAACUGUGCACAUCUUGACGGUACCUAAUCAGAAAGCCACGGCUAACUACGUGCCAGCAGCCGCGGUAAUACGUAGGUGGCAAGCGUUAUCCGGAAUUAUUGGGCGUAAAGCGCGCGUAGGCGGUUUUUUAAGUCUGAUGUGAAAGCCCACGGCUCAACCGUGGAGGGUCAUUGGAAACUGGAAAACUUGAGUGCAGAAGAGGAAAGUGGAAUUCCAUGUGUAGCGGUGAAAUGCGCAGAGAUAUGGAGGAACACCAGUGGCGAAGGCGACUUUCUGGUCUGUAACUGACGCUGAUGUGCGAAAGCGUGGGGAUCAAACAGGAUUAGAUACCCUGGUAGUCCACGCCGUAAACGAUGAGUGCUAAGUGUUAGGGGGUUUCCGCCCCUUAGUGCUGCAGCUAACGCAUUAAGCACUCCGCCUGGGGAGUAUGACCGCAAGGUUGAAACUCAAAGGAAUUGACGGGGACCCGCACAAGCGGUGGAGCAUGUGGUUUAAUUCGAAGCAACGCGAAGAACCUUACCAAAUCUUGACAUCCUUUGACAACUCUAGAGAUAGAGCCUUCCCCUUCGGGGGACAAAGUGACAGGUGGUGCAUGGUUGUCGUCAGCUCGUGUCGUGAGAUGUUGGGUUAAGUCCCGCAACGAGCGCAACCCUUAAGCUUAGUUGCCAUCAUUAAGUUGGGCACUCUAAGUUGACUGCCGGUGACAAACCGGAGGAAGGUGGGGAUGACGUCAAAUCAUCAUGCCCCUUAUGAUUUGGGCUACACACGUGCUACAAUGGACAAUACAAAGGGCAGCGAAACCGCGAGGUCAAGCAAAUCCCAUAAAGUUGUUCUCAGUUCGGAUUGUAGUCUGCAACUCGACUACAUGAAGCUGGAAUCGCUAGUAAUCGUAGAUCAGCAUGCUACGGUGAAUACGUUCCCGGGUCU